AUUGAACGCUGGCGGAAUGCUUUACACAUGCAAGUCGAACGGUAGAGGGGGCAACCCCUCGAGAGUGGCGAACGGGUGAGUAAUAUAUCGGAACGUGCCCAGUCGUGGGGGAUAACGUAGCGAAAGUUACGCUAAUACCGCAUACGAUCUAAGGAUGAAAGCGGGGGAUCACAAGACCUCGCGCGAUUGGAGCGGCCGGUAUCAGAUUAGGUAGUUGGUGGGGUAAAGGCUCACCAAGCCAACGAUCUGUAGCUGGUCUGAGAGGACGACCAGCCACACUGGAACUGAGACACGGUCCAGACUCCUACGGGAGGCAGCAGUGGGGAAUUUUGGACAAUAGACGCAAGUCUGAUCCAGCCAUUCCGCGUGCAGGAUGAAGGCCCUCGGGUUGUAAACUGCUUUUGUACGGAACGAAAAGGUCUCUCUUAAUACGGGGGGCUCAUGACGGUACCGUAAGAAUAAGCACCGGCUAACUACGUGCCAGCAGCCGCAGUAA
rnacentral:rRNA from 1 species